rnacentral:rRNA from 1 species
GUCUACGGCCAUACCACGUUGAAAACACCAGUUCUCGUCUGAUCACUGAAGUUAAGCAACGUCGGGCUCGGUUUGUACUUGGAUGGGUGACCGCGUGUGGGCUAUUUAGACCAGUUCCUGGCC